rnacentral:lncRNA from 12 species
ACCCCCUCCUCUGUCUCACCAUACAUCAGCCUAGGCCUGAAAUUAGGCUAAUUUGCUUUAUUAAUCACCCUCGGCUAACAUAACUAAAGCAGUAUUAUCAACAUUUUAUGUACAUGUGUCAUGAUAUGAAGCUACAGUUGUUCAACGUGCCAGCAUGCAACCAAAACGUGUAUCUCCACGUGUCUGUUUUGGCAGCGGUACAGUCUGACUAAGCCCUAAACUAGCUAAUCGAGAGCUAGAGUAACCACACCCAUGUAUGGUGUGAAUAUGGAGUCAGCCACUACUCAUACGGCUCCAACAGAACCUGAACGUGCUUGCAAUGGUCUGCGUGACAGAUGCAUAUUAAGAGGCCUGUACAAACCAGUGGCACCACUUUGCACCACGUUUGCACUGUCAAGGCCUCCGAUCUUACUCAACCGGACAUCACACCACCAUGGACCUUUUAGUUGAAUGCAGGUAGAAGGAAAGUGCAGUUUAAAACUUCAAAAAAGAUGCAAAAACUGAGUAAGCAUUACACUUCUGGAUACACAGAUUCACUUUUCAAAAGUUUAGGGUAAGUUCAUUAUUAUUAUUAUUAUUAUUAUUAUUAUUAAAUUAAUUAAAUUGCUAUUGCAAAGUUAUUAACAAUGUUACCAAAAAAAAAAUCUAAUUCAAAUCAAUGAAUUUUCAACACUGAUAAUAAUAAGAAAUGUUUCCAAUCAGCAUAUUAGAAUGAUUUCUUAAGGAUCAUGUGACACUGAAGACUGGAGUAAUGGCUGCUGAAAAUUCAGCUUAGCCAUCACAUGAAUAAAUUACAUUUUAAAGAUAGAAAUUAGUUAUUUUAAAAGUUAUAAUAUUUCACAAUAUUACUGGUUUACAGUAUUUUGUAAUAAUUAAAUGCAGUAAUAAUUAAAUGCAACCUUGAGCAUUAAAAACAAAUCUUACAGACUCUUAAGUUUUGAACAGCAGUGUAUAUAUUUGAGUGUUAAGAUGAUCUGCAGUUAUCUGUAACAUUAAUGAAUACCAUUCCUAACAUAUUUGCUUAUUGUUAGGAAAAUGAUACCCAGUGCAGUACAACUAAUUUGUU